GACCCGUUGGUCAAAUGGUUAAGACACGGCCCUUUCACGGCCGUAACAUGGGUUCAAAUCCCGUACGGGUCAC
rnacentral:tRNA from 1 species